AGUGAACGCUGGCGGUAGGCCUAACACAUGCAAGUCGAACGGCAGCACAGUAAGAGCUUGCCCUUACGGGUGGCGAGUGGCGGACGGGUGAGGAAUACAUCGGAAUCUACUUUUUCGUGGGGGAUAACGUAGGGAAACUUACGCUAAUACCGCAUACGACCUACGGGUGAAAGCAUGGGAUCUUCGGACCUUGCGCGAUUGAAUGAGCCGAUGUCGGAUUAGCUAGUUGGCGGGGUAAAGGCCCACCAAGGCGACGAUCCGUAGCUGGUCUGAGAGGAUGAUCAGCCACACUGGAACUGAGACACGGUCCAGACUCCUACGGGAGGCAGCAGUGGGGAAUAUUGGACAAUGGGCGCAAGCCUGAUCCAGCCAUACCGCGUGGGUGAAGAAGGCCUUCGGGUUGUAAAGCCCUUUUGUUGGGAAAGAAAAGCAGCAGGUUAAUACCCCGCUGUUCUGACGGUACCCAAAGAAUAAGCACCGGCUAACUUCGUG
rnacentral:rRNA from 1 species